rnacentral:rRNA from 1 species
UACGUAGGCAGCAAGCGUUGUUCGGAAUUACUGGGCGUAAAGAGUGUGUAGGUGGUGUCGUAAGUUUGGUGUGAAAUCUCCCGGCUUAACUGGGAGGGUGCGCCGAAGACUGCGAUGCUUGAGUAUGGGAGAGGAAAGCGGAAUUCCUGGUGUAGCGGUGAAAUGCGUAGAGAUCGGGAGGAACAUCUGUGGCGAAGGCGGCCAUCUGGACCAGCACUGACACUGAGGCACGAAAGCGUGGGGUGCAAACAGG